GAGGAUGUAAACUCAGUGGUAGGGUGCUUGCUUAGCAUGUGAGAGGCCCUGGGUUGGAUCCCCAGCACCACA
rnacentral:tRNA from 1 species